rnacentral:siRNA from 1 species
GUCAAAAUGGGUCAAAAUUUAUGG